UACGUAGGGGCCGAGCGUUGUCCGGAAUUACUGGGCGUAAAGAGCGCGCAGGCGGUCGUUCAAGUCGCGUGUGAAAGCCCCCGGCUCAACUGGGGAGGGUCACGCGAUACUGGUCGACUCGAAGGCAGGAGAGGGUAGUGGAAUUCCCGGUGUAGUGGUGAAAUGCGUAGAUAUCGGCAGGAACACCCAGGGGGAAACCAGCCGACUGGGCAUCUACUGACGCUGAGGUGCGAGAGCGUGGGGAGCGAACCGG
rnacentral:rRNA from 1 species